GUUCUUGGCACAGGGAGGAAGAGGGGGAUCCUUGGGUGUUUGGUGGUGGGUGGAAAUGGAGGAGGAGGACAAGCAAAGGGAAGGAAGGGCCAAGGGGGGAGGGGGAGGGAGAUGACUGAUGAGUGUGUGCAGGUGAGUGAGUGAUUACUGCUUGCAGGUGCAGGCUGGAAGGGAUUGUUGCUCGUCCGCUGCAACAAGGACGUGGCAUCUUCUUGGUUGUUAGUGACCCGCACCCCACCCUGUAGCUACCAGCCCGAAUUGACCGACCUUCUCUCUCCCUCGUCUUCCUCCGACCUGAGCUGGCCGUAAUUUCUUAGUGUCUUAGUGUUUGCUGACCGUAAUUUCUUAGUGUCUUAGUGUUUGUUUGGAAUAAAGGAAUUCAAAAUAGAGAAAUGAGAAAAAAAAAUGUAGGAAUAUGAUGGAGUGAAAAUCGGAAACUACAGGAUUUCCAAAAUACAGGGAUGUACAAUUUAGGCUGUUUGGAUUGCAGGAAUUCGUAACACAGGAAUAAUAAACGUAGGCUAAUAGAAAUAUUGAUUAGAUUGUGUUGAUAAAAUUAAUACGACCGAACAGUCAAAGCUACUUUUGUUACCACGCAGAAAAACAAAUGAUGUAUUUCCGCUCCGCUGCCCCUCUUACACGUGGCCUACGGUUAUUUUGCCAUCUGCAAGCCAGAAGCCACCCAUCGUUCUCCACACACGCUCAGGCGACAGGCGCCAUGACCUCAAAGGUCAGCGGAGCACAGUCGGAGGCCAGCAGCCAAGCAUCAAGUGGCGAGCUCUCGACCUCUUCGAGCACGCUUGAAGCCGCUCUCCUCUCCUUCGCCAACCAAAGCUCCACUCCCAAAUCAAGAGAAAUGGGUUUCUCUCUUCUUCUUUUUUUAGAUUUGGAGUUAUAGAUCCCUGGAGUGGCUCAAAGGAUUUGUUAAGCACUUGCUCAAGUUGAACCUGGAUUCCAUUUUUUGUCUUUUCCUUUAUUUCCCUUUUAUUGCUCAAAUGAAGCUUUCCUCCCGAAGGCUCAAGCUGUGUGUGGCGAGGAGGAAGAGCACACCAGGUAAGCUUGAUUAGCAUGUGAGUAUGCGAGCGAGCGUUGCAGGAAAGUUUUCCCUAAGCUCGGAGCACAUUUUUUCUUUCCUCCAAAAGUACAAGCUCAGCUCCUUGCCGUUCCUCUGGAAAGUAUAUGUUCAAUUCCUUCAUUCCAAACGUGUAGCUCGUCUUCCUUUCCUAUGGAAAUGUACAGUUUUCCUCUAUUCCAAACAGGAUCUUAUCUUUUUACAUGCAAGGUUUAUUUUUUUUACCAGCGAUUGCUUCGAAGAUGUAUUUUCUUCCAACAUUAACAUAAGUUAUGGACACGUCUCUAUGAA